rnacentral:lncRNA from 1 species
CUCCAAAUAUUGAAUAAUUAUUUUAACUACUUAUUUACAAAUUACAUAUAAAUUUAUCAAUUAUAUCAAAAGAUUUCAACAAGAAUGUGUAAUUCCUUCAACAUUAGGCCAAACAUUAAUACAAUGACUAAUAAGAGAAACCAUAAUCUACAAAAAUCUAGUUCAACCUUUCAAGUAGCCCAUUGAUAGAAUCUUCAUGGUUUUCAAUAUCACCUCCUUCAACAUAACAAUUUCUCUAUUUUUGGUAAAUUUGUUUCCUUUGCAACCUAUAUAAAAAAAAUAAAAUAAUAAAUAAAUAAAGAUAGAAAGAAUACAAAACCUUUAAACUACAUGCAACAAUCAAUAAGUAUAAUUGAAGUUAUAAAUCUUCACAAAAAUUAAUUCAACUUUGCUCACCACCAUAAACUCCCUAGUUAAAGCAAAAAAUUUCUUAAGGGAUUCCCUUGAAGUGGGUUCUUAGUUAGGACUAAGCAAAAACUUGGUACAUUUAGCAACAUGUUUCUCAUUACUAAUAUUGAUGAAAAAAAUAUGGUUAGAGAUUUUCAUUGUUAGAAGAUAUGAAAUAGCGGUCGAUAAUGUUGAGGAAAAGAGUAACAACUAAGAAACAUGAUUUAAGAGUAUUUAGGAAUUAAAACGAUGAAUAUCUAAUAUUUCUAUUUAUUAGUAAAUUCUAUAUGUUAUAUAAUUCUUAGUUUUUGGAGGAUUAAUUGUGAUUAUCGUUUCUUGUGUAUAUAAGUUAUCCUCUAAUUGGAUAGGUUAAUAGAGUCACCAACAAUUGAGAAUAAAAGAGAAAUAGGAACUAAAGAGCAGUUUUUUCAUAGUUAAUGUAUAGUCUGAAUAAAUAAAUUGAUUAAGAAUACUAAUAUAUCUUGGAUUAAUAACAAAUAUUAUUUGCCCAUUUCCUACAAAUGUUAUUAAUAACAAAUAAAUUUAAGAACACUAUAGAAAUCUUUUGGUAAAAUUAAAAUUCACAAAUAAAAAAUUACAAAAUUAGAAAAUUAAAAAAAUGAUAAUAAAAUAGUGUAAAAUUAUUAAGGCUAUAACAAAUUAAUAAAAUAUUCUAAAUAUAUAUUCAAAUGCUAACUAAACUUAUGUAGGAAAUGAAUAGGAUUGUUUACCCAUGAAUUCCAAACUUUCUUUAAACUAAAUUUGCCCAUUUUUAUUUAUGUUAAGUAAUAGAGCAUCUAACACAAUCAUUCCGAUAUACACAAUAAUAGACUUAUUCAAUUGGCAAGUAAUUACUUUAGUGAAAAUGAAGCAUAUAGAAAUAAAAAUUUAUAAUUCCCUAAUUAAUUGCAUUUCCUAUAUGCAUGCUAUUUUCUAAGCAAUGCAAUGGAGACUUUGAGAUUGAGUACUAUUCAAGUUUUAAGUCACAUAUGUAAACCCAUAGGUAUUGAAUUGCCUUGUUAAUUAUAGGAAAAACACCUUGCAAUUUUCUCAUAAUUAGAAUAGCAAAACUAGUAAAAGAAAAGAAAACGGGAAAAAGUCUACAAAAUAUUUUCCAUUAAAGAAUAGAAACAAAGCCCAAACAAUAAUUAAUGAAACAAAAGAAGUUAAUAAAAACAUAACACAGAAUCACAAAAGAGAAAAAAAAAAUGUAUAUUUCAAAACUGAGAAAUGGAGUACCCAUUUAGCACUCAAAAUAAUUCUACUCAAUUCAAUUUUUCAUCCAACAAGAAAUCGAAUACCCAUCUAAACAUUCAAAAUUACUCUAUAUGCUUAGUACAAUAUUUCAUUCAAAGUAAGUGCCAAAUAUAAGUCUAAAGUUUAAGGAAACAUUUUAAGGCUUUUUAAAUAACAAUUUUUUUAUUUAAAUAAAUAAUUAUAGAAUAUUAAUUGUCUUAGAAAAUAGAAACUCUCAUCACAAAAUCUCGCAUUAUGUUCUAAAAUGUUUCUAGUAAAAUCUUCAACUUUAAUAAUUGCCUUCUAACUUGAAGUUGGACAACGGAUAAAUUCAAAUAGAGAAUGACUCACUCAGUGAUUAAAAUCCCUUAAUCAUAAGUGCAGCAAUUUUGUUUGAAACUUAUUAUAUUCUUUAGAAUAUGUAGCUAUUUCACAAUAACACAUUGAAAAUAAUUCGUUUUGUUGUGUUCAAUUUAUCAUGAAGUAAUAUAAAUUAAAGACUCUAGUAUCCUAAUUACCUAGAAAAAUAUGUAUAACAUUGAAUCAUAGGCAUGGUCUAAAAAAAAUGAAUGAAAGGGUAUACCUAUAUUAGAAUAAGAAUCUCUAAAUCCUAUAGUUGUAAGCUUUAAUUCCUUUGCCUAAGAUAAUAUUUUUUUUUUAUCACAAACCAAAUAACUUAAAAUAGAAGGAAUUAAUUUUUUUAUAAAAAAUAAACAAAUAAGGGAAAAUGCAUGCGUAUAAGAAGAAAUAAAGUUAUAAUAUGAAGACAAGGUAUGAAGACAUGGCAAGAAUAAAGAUAGAUAGCUUGCAAGUGAUUUAUGUGGGGAAGGCAAAGAAAUAAGUACCGGUGGUUUGACCAUAGAGAGAUGUUGCCAGAACAUGCUAUCUACCCAAGGUUACUGAUCAUCUUAUAGACAAAGAAUCAAACAUGAGAAGAAAACCUUGUAGAAGAUAGAUAAUCUAUUGUUAACAGUUCUGAUUAUUACCAUCACCUUUAAGAAGUUCUCAAAUCAAAUCCUAACACCUUCCUCAUCAAUGACUAACGUCACAGUUUCUACAGCCUAUGCCAAAUUUUGAACAUCCUACAAUUUCAAUAGCAGUAUAAUCCACCCCCAUUCUAGCUCCCAUUAUGAUUUUAGCAUCUCAAUGCUCCAAUCAUUUGAAAAUAUCUCAAUUAUUUUAGUUUCAGCCCUUCCAUUUAUGUGGUUCCAAACACUUAGACAUCAUGUUGAAGAUUGAAAUCUCUAAUUAAAUAUUAAAAUAAAAAAAAUAACGUUAAUAUUAAAGUAAAAUGAAGAAUGAAUUCUAAAAUCUAUUCUCAAUUUGUCAUAUUUUCUCUAAUUAAUUUAAAAAUCACAAGAUGAUUUAAUUUCUCUAAGAAAGUAUUCUAAAACAAGGAGUUGAGAAAUUUAAAACACUAUUUUCCUUAACCAAAUAAUAUUUUCUCAAAAUAAUCAAAUUUGCAUUCUUAAAAUCAAAUGACAUAAACAAAUCACCCUAUUCUUGAAAGUGCCAUCAUAAUUCACAUUCUACAACCCAAGUUAACAAGACCAUAUGAUGUCAUCUCAAAGGCAUAUGAGGUGGCCACACUUUUAUCCCUAAUUCAUGAUUUAAUAUAAAAGGACUAGCUCCUUAUUUACUACAAAUUAAUAAAUAAACUGAUGGAGACUUGCUUUAAUUUAAUGUAUACUCCAACUGAAAGAAAGAGAUAUGCAAUGUGAGAACUUCUUAAGCAUAGGAAAUACCCAAUGCUCGGGAAGCCCUGACACCACCACAAUCUAGACUUGGCCCUAAAAAAGUUUCAAAAAUGAUUAAUUAAAGUUCAAAAUAAAUUUAUAAAUAUAAUCUACAUGAAAAAAAUUUCUACGGUUUAUUACUAGAGUUUAAUUAUUUUAGAACAUUGAAUAAAUAAAUAGAAAUAAGAUCUCAAAAUAUAGUGAAUACCAAAAAAAUAAUAAAAAUAAUUUUCUUACUACAAUUUAUUUCACAAUGUAUAAUAAAUUACAAAUACUAAAAAUAAAUGUACAAAUAAGAAACUUAAAAUGAAUAAACAAAAACUAUACUUAGGUCAUCACAUCUCCAUUAUUAAUAUUCCAAAAGCUUAAGAAAAAAAGAGAAAUAAAUGAAUUUUUGUGAUUACUUCAAAGAUUCUAGUAUCAACAAAAUUAGGAAAAAAAAUCAUGUUUAACUAUCAUAAUCUAAAAUCCUACCAAAACAUAAAACAACAACAAUAAUAAUAAUAACAAAUCAAUUGAGCAUCAAUUCUUUUUCCUGCCCAAAACCUCUCACUUUUAUGCCAAAAACAAAAAGCCCACAAUACUCUCCACUACCUAAUAAAAAAAAAAGGCAUAAAAAAGAGAGACCCCACUGCACCCUCACUCCUCUUUCUUUCUUUCCUUCCUCCGUAGAAUACCCACAAUGAUUUUUCCUAUCUAGAAAACCCCUCAUCCAUAGUCUUUUGCUCUAUCGAGCUUCUUCACCUAACCUCAUAUUACUCUUCUCCUCAAUUUUUACCUCUCGUAAUCUAACCUAAAAUACCCACACAUAAUGCCCUCAUCAUUCUUUCCACAAACUCCUUCCCUCAUAGCUUUCCCAACCUUAGAUCUUCACAAUGCCUCUGCACAACUAAUAAUGGUGCAUGCAAAAGUAAUGCAAUCUACUACUAAUAAUAGUGCUUUCCUAAAGGUCAAAUACCAGCAUGAUCCCACUAAUUUGUCUUAUUUUUUCUUCAUUCAGUCCAAACUAUUUAUUAGAGGAUACAAGUGAUUCAAGCCCCUUAUUCUUAUGCUUCUUCACCACCAUAGAAAAAAUACCAACUAUUUUUUUUUUGAUAAAGAGAAUAAAAGAAAUUUCAACAACACCACACAUAUUCUAAUAAACAUUCAUAUCAAUUAUAGGCCUUUUGGCAAAAUUCAAAAUUGAUUAUUGCAAUGUUUAACAUGAAAAAUGUAAAGACAAAAUGGUUGUAGAUCUCCAAAUUGUGAUAGUUUCUCAAAAAACUGAAACUUAAAUAGGGCUCCAACCUAUCUCUUAAUCCUAAAUCUCAUAUAUCUAAAGAAAUCCAUCCAUAAGAGACUAGAUAAAGAACAAGUAACAGAAAAUUAGAAAGAAUUCCAUUAUGUUUCCUGUUUUAUACAUUUUUGAGGCAUUGGGAAUCAACAUUGAAAUGGGAAUUUAC